GAUGAACGCUGGCGGCGUGCCUAAUACAUGCAAGUCGAGCGAACAGAUAAGGAGCUUGCUCCUUUUACGUUAGCGGCGGACGGGUGAGUAACACGUGGGUAACCUACCUAUAGGACUGGAAUAACUCCGGGAAACCGGGGCUAAUGCCGGAUAACAUUUAGAACCGCAUGGUUCUAAAGUGAAAGAUGGUUUUGCUAUCACUUAUAGAUGGACCCGCGCCGUAUUAGCUAGUUGGUAAGGUAACGGCUUACCAAGGCAACGAUACGUAGCCGACCUGAGAGGGUGAUCGGCCACACUGGAACUGAGACACGGUCCAGACUCCUACGGGAGGCAGCAGUAGGGAAUCUUCCGCAAUGGGCGAAAGCCUGACGGAGCAACGACGCGUGAGUGAUGAAGGUCUUCGGAUCGUAAAACUCUGUUAUUAGGGAAGAACAAAUGUGUAAGUAACUGUGCACGUCUUGACGGUACCUAAUCAGAAAGCCACGGCUAACUACGUG
rnacentral:rRNA from 1 species